UCCGGGCGGACGCCGAAUCCUGCCGCCGCCCGGAUGACCGGUCGACACAAGUGGAUCGGCAGGAGUGGAGGACCCAAGCACGACGGGUCGCCGGAACGGCCACGCCGUGGCCGGGCCGGGCGACCCUUGGGGUGAAGCCGCGGCGACGCGGCCGGGCAACUUCGCCAGCCCGAAUCCGACAGGUCAUCCUUCACAGGCGGCUGACGAAGGGUUGA
rnacentral:sRNA from 2 species